AUACGGAGGGUGCAAGCGUUACUCGGAAUCACUGGGCGUAAAGCGCGCGCAGGCGGUCUUUUAAGUUGGAUGUGAAAGCCUACAGCUCAACUGUAGAACUGCAUCCAAAACUAUUAGACUAGAGUCUGGGAGGGGAAGAUGGAAUUAGUUGUGUAGGGGUAAAAUCCGUAGAGAUAACUAGGAAUACCAAAAGCGAGGGCGAUCUUCUGGAACAGUCCUGACGCUGAGGCGCGAAAGCGUGGGGAGCAAACAGGAUUAGAAACCCGGGUAGUCC
rnacentral:rRNA from 1 species